rnacentral:lncRNA from 1 species
UAAUAAAGAGCUCCUAUCAAUGAUUAGCAGUGUCACUGCUACAAACCCCUAGAGAGCAUCAUCCAUGUGCAGAUGGGAAAGCCAAGGCCAAAGCCCCAAAGCUAGUGUAUGGUGGAGCCGCCCAGGAAUUCCAGUCCAAAGCCACACACUCACCAGCCACUGGCCCUGCAGCUUUUGCAUUACUUUGAUUCUUUAAUCGUCUCUGGGGUGACCUCUUUGGGGUAUAAUGGAAGUUGCCUGCAAAGUCUGAGGUGGCCUUCAGACUGGCAAUCCUUCUGACCUCUCCUCGCAGUUGGAAUGCAAUGGGAAGUACCUGCGAAUGGAAGUAUCUGCUGUCCAAAAGCCUUGCAAGCCUAGCGCCAGGGCUGCACCCUGAAAGAGCCGCACCCUCAAGGGACUGGCAGGCCCACCCCUGCUCUGGUCUCCCUGGACAGAGAGGAGGACACAUGUGGAUGCUAACCUUUGCAUUCAUUAGCCAGCAGCUGCAGCCAGAGAUCAAUGAUAAGUAGAAAUUGUGCACGUCCGACUGCUGUGCCUUCGCUCGCUACGAAGCACGUGACUUCCUAUUAACGGUAUCUCUCGUCUUACCAAACCGAUAUUUCCUGUAAAGGGCUGAGACUAAUUGUGGUUUUAACAAGGGUCAUGUUAUGCAUUUCUAUGAGAGCGAACAGCCAUAGGUCAGACAGUCAGACGGUCAGUCUGGAAAAGAGAUCCAUACUCCACAUCUUUAAGGCUGAUGUGAAGCCCAGAUAAGUGUGUUGGUGAUGUGGAAGUUACCCUGGGAAGAUAGAAUGGGAGAAAAUGAACUCUGGAGAGAAGCAACUGCCUUAGAGAUGCAGCAUCAAGGUUUUCUUUGGCGUGUAUUCGGGGAAAGCAAUCUUUGAAGAUGAGAUUCUACAGUCUGACAGCGGCAGCUCCUACCUUCCCUGGCCCCAGGAGAGCCAGGCAGGAUUUUGGUGGCUGUCACUCUGUCUGGGGCAGUCACAGAGAGGAGGAGAGGAGGAUGUGGCUGCCGAUGGCAAUUUUCUCAGUUUGCUGCUUUGCCACUCCUUGCUGUCGAGGAAGGCAGAGGCUGCCUGGGAGAGCCCGGUCCCCGGAUUGGCUUGUUACUCCACAGAGUGGAAAUGCUGUGAUUGAACUCAGAGCUCCCGAGCUCAACCUGUGCCUUGACAAACAACAUGAAGACGAGAGCAAGGUUUGAACUUCCCCACUUAACCCACAUCUGGCUCAACAGCCCCCUUUUCCUGUUAAGACCUCAAAUGUGAUAUGACAGGGUACCAUUUAUCACUUAGACAUCCUCCACUGCUUCCCUUUCCUUUACCCUGUCUCUUCCACUUACUUUAGGUCAAACUAAGACAGUUCUUACAGGGGAGCUUUCAACUUGGGUGACACUUUCCUGAUUCUGAAUCUUGUUCCGAAAUGCCACAAGCUAAGUUGCCAGCCUAGACUAUCAACAUGUCAGAACAUUUUCGUUUUUUUUUUUUUUUUUCCUAGGCACCACUCAAUCAUCUUUCUUCCAGUGCAUCUAGGAAUUUCAUCUGGGAAAUUAAUGUCUGAUCCUACUAGGGAAAUUUGAAACAACCACUAUAAAAUGCUAAAAUCCCCCCCUCCCUGAAUGAUUUAAUGGACAGUGCAUAUGCAUGAAGUUUAGAACAGAUCUGCCCAAUAGGACUUUUUGAAGGAUGGAAAUGUUCCAUAUCUGGACUGUCCAAUAUGGUAACCAGUAGCCCCAUAUGGGCACUGAGAAAAUGAAUUAUAGCUGUUACAACUGGGGAACUAGAUUUUAAACUAUGUGAGUUUUUUCUUUUUAUUUAAUAUGAAUUAGAACAAUUCUAUUGAACUAAAAUUUACAUACCACACAAUUUACAAAUGUAAAAUGUAGGAUUCAAUAGGUUUUAGGACAUUGACAGAGUUGUACAACUAUACUACAAUCAAAUUUAAGUUAUUUUUGAUAUCCCAAAGCAAACCACUGUAUCCACUAGCUAUGAUCUCUCAAUUUCUCCCCUCUACAUCUAGGCAACUGAGAAUAGCACUGAGCUGUUCUUUACCAUCACAGAUUUUCCUAUUCUGGAAAUCUCUUUUUUGUUGUUGUUGUUCAAAAUAGACUAUGCUUAUAACAACGAUAAAGAUCUAAACUAUGCAAAAUUUAAUCAUUUUAAAUUUAAAAUUAAAUUUGGCCAUAAUCUCUACAAAUUACAUGCAUUAGAGCCUGGUAAACAUGAUAAGAUACUGAAUAAAUCCCACUAGUGAGGAAAAUGUGGUAACAUUUUCAGAAAAGUUAUAACUAUUCAUUCAAUUAUUUUCUCUAGCCCCCAAGACUAGUAACAUCUUUGUAAGUUGCAUUUGAUCUUACUUCUGUUGGUCUGAAUCCUAUAUCCCAGCAAAGAGAUGAAAGGAAAGAAAAUGCUAACUCAUAAAGUGAUGCAUUUAGGCUGAGGUUUGGAGCAAGACAACGAGCAGAACAACCUGAAUUGUUUCGAGGCAGUCCAUGAGCUAGGCAACAAGAAGUUACCAGGUGUGAGAAUGGGAACACCUGGCAAAACAGUGCCGAUCCUCAUUGUGAGCAGAGCCAGUGCUCUGGCAUUCCUUCCUUCCUUCCUUCAUCUAUUCAUCCAACAGUGACGAAGUCUCUACUCCAGAUACAUCAUAUCCUGGGAUAAUGAAAAGAUUCGUGGAAACUCAAAAGAUCAAGAAGAUCCACUGAAUCAGAAACUAGGAAUGCAGUACAGCAAACUAGAUUUUAACCAAGGCUUCUAUGGGAUUCUGGUGCUCGUGAAGGUUGGAGAGUCCUUGUCCUACUACCACUCCUUGGAUUCUCAUUGGUAAAAGCUGGAGAUCUUUCUCAGCCCGAGGCUCUGGGGAAGAUUCCUGGAGCAUGAGCUCCUCUUAGGAAACGAAGGUGGGACCCAGCAUUUUUGGGAAUUGCAACCCAUUGAAUAGAAGAAUUCAGGAGCUCUAGAAUUUUUUCCUAGCAAGGAGCAAGUUGAAGAUGGACUUACAGCCCUUUACUGAGUGCCCAGUGCUGGCUGCUAGAUUUCCCAAUUUCUGAUGACCUGAAUGGAGGGAGGAAAUGUGGUUAAGGAGUUUAAUCCCAACCCAGCCACUGACUGUGUGAUUUGGACAGUUGGUUCUCACUGCCUGGCACCCUCAUCUAUAAACAGGGAGAAUCAAAUUUGUGAAUGCAGAUCGGGAGCUGUCAUCAAUGUCAAAGGAAGGGACAAGGAUAUCAAAGUAUAUGUAAUCCCAGCUUCUCUUCUUCCUAGGAGGAUUUUGUAUUUCAGAUUUUUUUGCUCAGAGUAAGAUUGCAGAAAAAAGGAAAUGAGACUACUACAGAAGAACAUUAUGGAGCCGAAGUUGUAGAAGAGAUGAAGAGGAAGGCUAGUAUUUGAAGGGACCAGAGCAGCAGAGAGGCUGAAAGCAUGAUGGGAGCUUUGGGGAGGACAGUAGAGAGCCUUUUAGGCAGUUUGCUUUGUGCUGUGUGAAAUGAUUUUCCCCUGGUUUCCUCUGCAAAUGACUUCAGGAAAACACUGGCUCAAGGAUCUUGAGGUCAGAUGUACUAUAUGAUGUCUUUGCAUUGGGUAUUAGCCUCAAAGCUCUGGCAAUAAGGCCUACCUAAAUUCAACAACCUUCUUAUUUGCUAACAAAAUCAAUCUAAGCCUUGUAGAUCUGUCUGGGGGUUACAGUUGUCCAAGAUCAGCCCUUUCUCAUUGUCCAUCUCCUCAAUUUAUUUUUCAAUUUUUAACAAUAAAUAUGGACCACUUAUAAAAGAUUAUUUGAAACAUUUCCAGGCCAGGGUCAACCAGUUGCUCAUCAGUGACAGGAGAUGGAGCAAAGUUCUGAGGCAAGACGCACUUUACACACUGGGUCACACAGAAGAAAUGGCUGGGGAAGAUCUAUGUCAAACCUGGAUGUGUGGCCUUGCUGUAGAUUGCUGGCAAUGAAUGUUGCCAUGGUCUGCAAAGGCCUGCAGGGAGAGGAGUUUACAGGAUCAGCUCAGAAAGAUUGCUAGGCACAGGUGGGUUUUUUUUUUUUUUUCAAAAUCCCAUCCAAAAGCAUUUACUUUAAUAAAUAUACUGAGAUGAAAUAAUAAUCAUGUCACUGGUGCAUAAGAAGGAUAAUAAGAUAUUAAUAUACAGCCCAAAUAAAUUCAACUCCCUUUGAGAGAAAUAGCUAACUUGCCAAUAUGUAUGAAUCAAUUUAACUUACAAAGGGAGAAGAGUUGUUCGUUGGAGUACACUGAGAGUAGUGAUUAAUAGACUGCCAAUUCUAAUAUGAAUUUUGUUUCUGUCCCAGGGAGGGUUUAAAAUUCAUUGUAUUUUUAGGCAUACAAUUCUUCUACACCUAUUUUUUUUCAAUUUUAAACUUUAUAGGUUCUCUCUGUGAAAAAAGAAAAAAUGAGGGAAGGGUUGAAAGUGAAAUGUAAAACCUUGCAAACCUUCCUUUUUAAUGUGUGUAAGCAUAUAAAUACUUAGGCAUUUAAAUAGUAAGAUUAUGUUUUACACAUUGUGUUUGUAACUUGGGGUUUUUGAUGCUCGUUAAUUGAUUUAAUAGCUUUUUCCUGAGUAUCUAUUAGGCCCAUGGCAUUUUAUUAGGCUCUGAGGGGUAGCAUGGGGCUAUUCUCAGAGGUCAGAGUUUAGGGGAGGAGGAAAGAGAAUAAGUAGGUAAAUAAGCAUACAGUUGUAAACACAUACACAAUGUCUACUGUAUACAUUAUGUAAUUACGCUUUUCAAAGCACGCUGAUAGGAAGGAGAAGAAGUGGGAGGCAGAACAAUGAGCAGGUUAUAUUCAGUAAAAGGAGCCAUGGAUACUGCUCUGAGAAGGUGACACAGAAGGCAGGACCCAAGGACAAGUCACAAGACAGCCUUAGCGCAAGAAGGUAGAGUUUCAAUCAGAUAUGUUACACUAAAUAAAAACCCAAUUUGGCUGACACUACACCUCCCUUGCAAAAGAGGAAACUGAGGCUCAGGGAGUCUGAGGAGCCUUUUCAAAGCCACACAUUAACUUCUGCAAGAGUUCGCAUAGGUUUUAUGUUCAGUCAUCAAGUUGCUAAACAAUUGAGCUUUAUCCCAAAGCUUCAAUGGUAGACUUCAAGUGGAAUGCAUUAUCUGCUUAUAAAAGUCACACUGAUUAUUGUCAACUUUAUCAUCAUUGUCAUUGUCACUGUCAUCACCAUCAGCAGCAGCUAAAGCUAGCAAAGGCUCUACUAGCCAUGCAGGAGCCAGCAGCACACAAAAAGCCAAACUCCCUCUUGCCUAUGACCCAUCUGUCAGUGGAGCCCUCUGUGAAUGGAUGCUGGAUGCCGGUGAGCAUUUGCAUUUGGUUGUUCAUUCCACAUUUUUGCCCUUUCAGCCCUUCCCAUAAGCAUGUAUAAGGGAUACAAAGCCAUUUUAAUGCACAAAUGGCCAGGGGGUGCCUCUGGUUUUGGUAUCUAUUUAUAUCCAUAUAGCCAGAUGGAAAUCUAUCCUUAAGGUCCUAACAUGCACUAUUAAAGGAGAAAAACAAAAGCCACCAGGUCAAAGCAUGAGUCCCAGUGGGAAGUUAUUAGGAUCAUGGUGGUAUUACUCCAAGUCUGGUCCAUCAUUAUACAUGAAUCGUCAGUGCAUAUUGGGUAAGGCAAAGGGGAGCAGAGCAUUCCACUCUGAGGCUGUAUGUAUGCAUGUGUGUGUGUGUGUGUGCGCGCGCGCGCAUGUGUGCAAUUUUUUUACAGAACCAUAAUAAUGGGAAUUUAUUGAUCAUCUGUAUAUGCCUAAACCUUUGAAGAAGGCAGUAGGUUUAAAUAGAAUAAAGAGAACAAGCUGGAGUUUGAAGGUCUAUAUCAAGAAUGUUUGAGAUUCAUUCCUAAAACUUACUAUAUAAGCAAUUCUAAUA